GGACGAACGCCGGCGGCGUGCUUAACACAUGCAAGUCGAGCGGUAAGGCCCUUUCGGGGGUACACGAGCGGCGAACGGGUGAGUAACACGUGGGUGACCUGCCCUCAGCUCUGGGAUAAGCCUGGGAAACCGGGUCUAAUACCGGAUAUGACUCCGAUGACGCAUGUUUGUGGGGUGGGAAACGCCUUGUGCGGCUGAGGAUGGGCCCGCGGCCUAUCAGCUUGUUGGUGGGGUGAUGGCCACCAAGGCGACGACGGGUA
rnacentral:rRNA from 1 species